rnacentral:rRNA from 1 species
ACGUAGGGUGCGAGCGUUAAUCGGAAUUACUGGGCGUAAAGCGUGCGCAGGCGGUUGGCUAAGACAGGUGUGAAAUCCCCGGGCUUAACUUGGGAAGGGCGCUUGAGACUGCCGGACUGGAGUACGGCAGAGGGGGGUGGAAUUCCCCGUGUAGCGGUGGAAUGCGUAGAGAUGUGGAGGAACACCGGUGGCGCAGGCAGCCCCCUGGGCCGAUACUGACGCUCAUGCACGAAAGCGUGGGGAGCAAACAG